GCGGAAGGCUGGAUGGUCGCGGGAUUGGCAACAAUCGCGAGGAAAGUCCGGACUCCACAAAGCAAUGGUGCCGGGUAACGCCCGGCGGGGGUAACUCUAGGGAAAGCGCCACAGAAAAUAGACCGCCUGUGUGCGGAUCGGGCAACCGAUAUCACACGCGGGUAAGGGUGAAACGGUGGAGUAAGAGCCCACCGCGGGACGGGCAACCGGACUGGCAAGGCAAGCCCCACCAGGAGCAAUGCCAAAUAGGGACCGCGUGCGACGUAAGUCGCGGGGCUGCUUUUGCCCCAGCAGGUCCGGGUUGGCAGCUAGAGGUGCGCAGGUAACUGCGUGCUAAGAUGAAUGACUAUCUCGGGUGUGGUAACGCAUCUAGACAAAAUCCGGCUUACAGGCCUUCCGCGCAU
rnacentral:RNase_P_RNA from 1 species